rnacentral:rRNA from 1 species
UACGUAGGGGGCAAGCGUUGUCCGGAAUCAUUGGGCGUAAAGCGCGUGUAGGCGGCCAGGUAAGUCCGUUCUGAAAGCCCGGGGCUCAACCCCGGGAGGCGGAUGGAUACUGCUUGGCUCGAGUCCGGAAGAGGUGAGUGGAAUUCCCGGUGUAGCGGUGAAAUGCGCAGAUAUCGGGAGGAACACCUAUGGCGAAGGCAGCUCGCUGGGACGGUACUGACGCUGAGACGCGAAAGCGUGGGGAGCAAACAGG